UCUUGAUUCCCUUUUAGGUAUUCAUUAUCUUCUUCAUUAUGGUGGACUUGACUUACACACAUGUUUUCCUGUUUUCUCUGCUUGUAGGUGCACAUGACAUACAAUAGUUUUCGUGCAAAUAAGGUCUUAUGUCCCAGUUGCCUUGGACUCAUGGAGGCGUGAGAUCCAUACAAAUAGCUAUUUCCGGAUAGCAACACCACCGAGGAAGAGAAAUAUUCAGAGCAGGAUGGACAUGGAGAAAAAGAACGUUGUUUGGUGAUUUCUGCCUCCUCUAAUUCUCUUCAAUGCUAGUCUGCCUCAUCGCUGCGCCGGCUCCUACAAUGCUGCUUCUCACCUGACCUUUGUAAGCUCCUCACUAUUUUCUCAUCUGUUUUCCUCUGCAAAUCUGGUUCUAGGGUUCUGUUUGUUAUUUUCGUUGCUGCAAUUGGCUAAUUUGUUUCUUGAUAUUUCCUAUUCUUGCAGGCUUUUCAGUCAUUGGUAUAUUCACCGGGUGUUCCUGCCUCCAAUCCAGACGGACCUUCUUUAGUGGUGUCUUCUUUCACCUUGUUUUGCAUAGCCUGUCUUUCAGAACCUAGAAGAGAAACACAACUCUGCUCCAUAGAACUAUACAACCAAAAGUCCGAUGGCAGAAGUGGCGUUAGCUAGCGCUGCCUUAAGAUUGGCCAUAUCGCCGGUCUUGAAGAAGCUCCUUGCCAAGGCUUCAACGUACCUCGGAGUGGAAUGGCGCAUGAGCUCCAUGAACUUGAAACCACUAUCUUGCCGCAGUUUGAGCUGUUGAUUGAAGCAGCAGACAAUGGAAACCACAGGCCCAAGUUGGACAAAUGGCUUCAGGAACUCAAAGAAGGUUUCUACAUGGCUGAAGACUUGCUGGACAAGCAUGAGUACAACCUUCUCAAGCAACAAGUAAAGGGGAAAGAUUCAUUGCUGACCAAUGCCUCCUUCAUCAGCAACACUUUUAUGAAGCCUUUGCGUGCUGCAUCGAGCCGGCUGUCCAAUGUGAGCUCUGAAAAUAGAAAGCUAAUUUGCCAGCUGAAUGAACUGAAGGCUACCCUCGCAAAAGCCAAGUACUUACCGAAAAAGGGUUUCCCCCCGCUUUGUAUUACAAAGCAACAACAUCGAUACAACCCACGAUAGGUGCUGGGGCGGAAGCAGCACAGGCACGCCCAAAAGAAAAAAAAAGAGAAAACACAAAAGGAAAAAAAAAUGUCGACAACGGCGGAUCAACAAAAACGAAGAUGACUCGCCACCGCUGCGCCCGCCGGAGAGUUCCACCACGCUCCUAGCACCACGAAACGCCGCAUACCAAGUAACACCUUCAAGAAGGAACGCGACGACAACGACGCUGCUACCGGACAUGGCCUAGGGUUUCCCCCGGUACGCGAAGGGCCGUGGGAGGAAGGGGGAUAUCCGACGCCCUUCAGGAAGGCACGGCGACGCCCACGGGCGUCACCGCGUCGGUGCCGAACAAGCCGACAAGGAUUUCUCCCAACCUCUUACCAACCACGACCCCAGACGAUCCAUCGCGCUCCACCAUACUUGCCGUCCACCAAUAUGCGCCACCACGGACACGCAGUCACCAUCGCCGUCUCACCGUGACAAGCGAAGCGAGACCGGCGGGAUCGAGAGGAACCAGCCGAAAACGAGGAGCAGCAGGGUCAGCGGCCACGUGGGAGGGGACAACCUCCACCACCCUCGGCGGUGACCGACCGGACGUAGCUCAGGAGCAAACCAGGCACCCCUGCCCGGCCGAGCCCGAAGCGGGCUCAUGAAGCUCCCGUCGCUGCGCUGCAGUACACGCGCCACCGUCUCCGCCACCCCCAGCCCAAGCCACAC
rnacentral:lncRNA from 1 species